GCUCGUGUAGCUCAGUGGUUAGAGCCUCGUGCUUAUAGAACGCGAUCGUCGUGGGUUCAAUCCCCACCUCGAGCA
rnacentral:tRNA from 1 species